UGCCCAGCAACUCCUAUCCCUACCUCCUCGCGGUACUGGCCGGGGUACGAGUAACCUUAGGGGAAGAUCGGGUAACCAACCCCCGGUGGGAACUUUGGUCGUAUGCUGACAGGGAAGG
rnacentral:ribozyme from 1 species